CAGGGGUACGGAGGUGAACGUGGUCCUUGCAGAAAUAGGAAGACUUUGGAAGCGUGGGUCAGGUCGAUUUAACCAAGGUGGCUAAGGUUUUUGUUUUUCUGGAAGAGUGAAGCAAGAACAGAAAUUGGGACUAGAGCUCCACAGAAGGUUAUCAGGCCAAUGAGGAGACAUCUAACCUGGGUGAGAAGGGCCGAGGGAAGGCAGAGAGGAGGGGAGAUCUUGAGGAACUGAAGGAUUGUUGGAGCUGGGGACCCAGAGCGAGUGACCUUGGAAGGACAGUUGGACCUGACCCUCAGCUUCAGAGAGGGUCACAGAUCUGCCUAGCCCAUCCCCCUAAGUUGAGUCUGAGGAGUUUCCUGCCUUUCUGGCAACUUCCUAACUCCCUGGAAGCUGGUGACAGAUUUAAAAGGAACUUGAAGACGGCAUCACAGGGAUGGCUUAUUCGUGGUCCAUCCAGUAUCUCUGGCCUCAGCCUACAUGACUUGGACGGCUUAGAUUCUCAGACGGAAUCCUCUGGACACAUCCUAACUCCCAUGCUCGGUGUCUAAGCCAGAGUUGUUCAGAUUCUGGCUCUGUUGCUGUUGCUGUUAUCUGGCACACACGGUCUCCCUGUGGAAUUGAGGCUUCCUUCCAACAUGGUAGCCCAAAGGCAGGCAGUUUUUCCUUCUGGGGGUGGAAACCCCAGGCUUCUAUGCCAGGCUCCAUUGUGAUAAACGUGCACUGCUUUU
rnacentral:lncRNA from 1 species